UACGGAAGGCAGCAGUGGGGAAUAUUGGACAAUGGGCGAAAGCCUGAUCCAGCCAUGCCGCAUGAGUGAAGAAGGCCUUCGGGUUGUAAAGCUCUUUUAGUGAGAAAGAUAAUGACGGUACUCACAGAAGAAGUCCUGGCUAACUCCGUGCCAGCAGCCGCGGUAAUACGGAGAGGGCUAGCGUUAUUCGGAAUUAUUGGGCGUAAAGAGCGCGUAGGCUGAUUAGUAAGUUAAAAGUGAAAUCCCAAAGCUUAACUUUGGAAUUGCUUUUUAAAACUGCUAGUCUAGAGAUUGAAAGAGGAUAGAGGAAUUCCUAGUGUAGAGGUGAAAUUCGUAAAUAUUAGGAGGAACACCAGUGGCGAAGGCGUCUAUCUGGUUCAAAUCUGACGCUGAGGCGCGAAGGGCGUGGGGAGCAAACGAGGGAUUUAGAUACC
rnacentral:rRNA from 1 species